UACAGAGGGGGCAAGCGUUAUUCGGAAUUAUUGGGCGUAAAGGGCGCGUAGGCGGCUACACAAGUGGCGGGUGAAAUCCCUCGGCUCAACUGAGGAUCGUCGAUCGAUACUGCCGUUCUUGAGGAUUGCAGAGGAGACUGGAAUUCCCGGUGUAGCGGUGAAAUGUGUAGAGAUCGGGAGGAACACCGGUGGCGAAGGCGGGUCUCUGGGCAAUUCCUGACGCUGAGGCGCGAAAGCGUGGGGAGCAAACGGG
rnacentral:rRNA from 1 species